UACGUAGGGAGCAAGCGUUGUCCGGAAUCAUUGGGCGUAAAGCGCGCGUAGGUGGCCUCAUAAGUCCGCUGUGAAAGUCAAAGGCUCAACCUUUGAAAGCCGGUGGAUACUGUGAGGCUAGAGUACGGAAGAGGCGAGUGGAAUUCCUGGUGUAGCGGUGGAAUGCGCAGAUAUCAGGAGGAACACCAAUAGCGAAGGCAGCUCGCUGGGACGUUACUGACACUGAGGCGCGAAAGCGUGGGGAGCGAUCCGG
rnacentral:rRNA from 1 species